rnacentral:rRNA from 1 species
CAUAGGUUAAUGAGGCGAACCGGGGGAACUGAAACAUCUAAGUACCCCGAGGAAAAGAAAUCAACCGAGAUUCCCCCAGUAGCGGCGAGCGAACGGGGAGCAGCCCAGAGCCUGAAUCAGUGUGUGUGUUAGUGGAAGCGUCUGGAAAGGCGCGCGAUACAGGGUGACAGCCCCGUACACAAAAAUGCACAUGCUGUGAGCUCGAUGAGUAGGGCGGGACACGUGGUAUCCUGUCUGAAUAUGGGGGGACCAUCCUCCAAGGCUAAAUACUCCUGACUGACCGAUAGUGAACCAGUACCGUGAGGGAAAGGCGAAAAGAACCCCGGCGAGGGGAGUGAAAAAGAACCUGAAACCGUGUACGUACAAGCAGUGGGAGCACAGAGCAAUCUGUGUGACUGCGUACCUUUUGUAUAAUGGGUCAGCGACUUAUAUUCUGUAGCAAGGUUAACCGAAUAGGGGAGCCGAAGGGAAACCGAGUCUUAACUGGGCGUUAAGUUGCAGGGUAUAGACCCGAAACCCGGUGAUCUAGCCAUGGGCAGGUUGAAGGUUGGGUAACACUAACUGGAGGACCGAACCGACUAAUGUUGAAAAAUUAGCGGAUGACUUGUGGCUGGGGGUGAAAGGCCAAUCAAACCGGGAGAUAGCUGGUUCUCCCCGAAAGCUAUUUAGGUAGCGCCUCGUGAAUUCAUCUCCGGGGGUAGAGCACUGUUUCGGCAAGGGGGUCAUCCCGAC